UUGAACGCUGGCGGAACGCUUUACACAUGCAAGUCGAACGGUAACGCGGAGAGAAGCUUGCUUCUCACCGGCGACGAGUGGCGAACGGGUGAGUAAUACAUCGGAACGUGUCCGCUCGUGGGGGACAACCAGCCGAAAGGUUGGCUAAUACCGCAUGAGUUCUACGGAAGAAAGAGGGGGACCCGCAAGGGCCUCUCGCGAGCGGAGCGGCCGAUGACUGAUUAGCCGGUUGGUGAGGUAACGGCUCACCAAAGCAACGAUCAGUAGCUGGUCUGAGAGGACGACCAGCCACACUGGGACUGAGACACGGCCCAGACUCCUACGGGAGGCAGCAGUGGGGAAUUUUGGACAAUGGGCGCAAGCCUGAUCCAGCUAUUCCGCGUGUGGGAUGAAGGCCCUCGGGUUGUAAACCACUUUUGUAGAGAACGAAAAGACACCUUCGAAUAAAGGGUGUUGCUGACGGUACUCUAAGAAUAAGCACCGGCUAACUACGUGCCAGCAGCCGCGGUAAUACGUAGGGUGCGAGCGUUAAUCGGAAUUACUGGGCGUAAAGGGUGCGCAGGCGGUUGAGUAAGACAGAUGUGAAAUCCCCGAGCUUAACUCGGGAAUGGCAUAUGUGACUGCUCGACUAGAGUGUGUCAGAGGGAGGUGGAAUUCCACGUGUAGCAGUGAAAUGCGUAGAUAUGUGGAAGAACACCGAUGGCGAAGGCAGCCUCCUGGGACAUAACUGACGCUCAGGCACGAAAGCGUGGGGAGCAAACAGGAUUAGAUACCCUGGUAGUCCACGCCCUAAACGAUGUUAACUAGUUGUUGGGAAGUAAAAUUCUCAGUAACGCAGCCAACGCGAGAAGUUAACCGCCUGGGAAGUACGGUCGCAAGACUAAAACUCAAAGGAAUUGACGGGGACCCGCACAAGCAGUGGAUUAUGUGGUUUAAUUCGAAGCAACGCGAAGAACCUUACCAGGCCUUGACAUGGAUAUAAAUGUUCUAGAGAUAGAAAGAUAGCUAUAUAUCACACAGGUGGUGCAUGGUUGUCGUCAGCUCGUGUCGUGAGAUGUUGGGUUAAGUCCCGCAACGAGCGCAACCCUUGUCACUAGUUGCUACGAAAGGGCACUCUAGUGAGACUGCCGGUGACAAACCGGAGGAAGGUGGGGAUGACGUCAAGUCCUCAUGGCCCUUAUGGGUAGGGCUUCACACGUCAUACAAUGGUCGGAACAGAGGGCAGCGAAGUCGUGAGACGGAGCCAAUCCCAGAAAACCGAUCGUAGUCCGGAUUGCAGUCUGCAACUCGACUGCAUGAAGUCGGAAUCGCUAGUAAUCGCGGAUCAGCAUGCCGCGGUGAAUACGUUCCCGGGUCUUGUACACACCGCCCGUCAAACAAUGGGAGUGGUGUUUACCAGAAGUCGUUAGCCUAACCGCAAGGAGGGCGGCGACCACGGUGAGCACCGUGACUA
rnacentral:rRNA from 1 species